rnacentral:lncRNA from 1 species
CACUACUUACACAUAGGACACAAGUGUCUACCACAUGUUUAAUUUUAUUAUUUUGAAUUAAAAUUAAAUAAUUUAUAAUUUAAUGCAAUACCUUUUUUAUUUAAUUAUUUUGUUUGCUAGGGUUUCAUUUCCAUCAUCUCUUCACUUUGCCUCCACCAAGGCCCUAUUGCACUUCAUCGAAUCACUAGCAACAACGUAGGCCACUAAGGAGG